UAAUGUUAGUCUUGUCAGUAAGGUUCCUGUUAUGUGUUAAGGUUUGUUAAUCACUUGUUCAUGAUUGAUACAACUAAUGGUACUCUUGUCAGUAAGGUUAAUCACUUGUUCAUGAUUGAUACAACUAAUGGUACUCUUGUCAGUAAGGUUAAUCAUUUGUUC